AUUGAACGCUGGCGGCAGGCCUAACACAUGCAAGUCGAAUGGUAACAGGAAACAGCUUGCUGUUUCGCUGACGAGUGGCGGACGGGUGAGUAAUGUCUGGGAAACUGCCUGAUGGAAGGGGGAUAACUACUGGAAACGGUAGCUAAUACCGCAUAACGUCGCAAGACAAAAGAGGGGGACCUUCGGGCCUCUUGCCAUCAGAUGUGCCCAGAUGGGAUUAGCUAGUAGGUGGGGUAACGGCUCACCUAGGCGACGAUCCCUAGCUGGUCUGAGAGGAUGACCAGCCACACUGGAACUGAGACACGGUCCAGACUCCUACGGGAGGCAGCAGUGGGGAAUAUUGCACAAUGGGCGCAAGCCUGAUGCAGCCAUGCCGCGUGUAUGAAGAAGGCCUUCGGGUUGUAAAGUACUUUCAGCGGGGAGGAAGGGAGUAAAGUUAAUACCUUUGCUCAUUGACGUUACCCGCAGAAGAAGCACCGGCUAACUCCGUG
rnacentral:rRNA from 1 species